CUCGAGGAUCUGUGACUCAGCGGGGUUCAUGUCUACAGCCUUGAAUCUCCAACAUCUGCAAAAAGUCACGACUCAGUGAUGCUGAUAGUCUUCAUCACCACAGUUGUCGCGCUGCUUGUACUAGUAUGUGCUCUGCUUUUAGUGAUCAGGGCUCAGAAGAUUCACCAUAA